rnacentral:rRNA from 1 species
UGGGGAAUAUUGGACAAUGGAGGAAACUCUGAUCCAGCAAUUCUGUGUGUGUGAAGAAGGUUUUAGGACUGUAAAACACUUUUAGUAGGGAAGAAAAAAAUGACGGUACCUACAGAAGAAGCAACGGCUAAAUACGUGCCAGCAGCCGCGGUAAUACGUAUGUUGCGAGCGUUAUCCGGAAUUAUUGGGCUUAAAGGGCAUCUAGGCGGUAAGACAAGUUGAAGGUGAAAACCUGUGGCUCAACCAUAGGCUUGCCUACAAAACUGUUGAACUAGAGUACUGGAAAGGUGGGUGGAACUACACGAGUAGAGGUGAAAUUCGUAAGUAUGUGUAGGAAUGCCGAUGAUGAAGAUAACUCACUGGACAGAAACUGACGCUGAAGUGCGAAAGCUAGGGGAGCAAACAGG